rnacentral:rRNA from 1 species
GACGAACGCUGGCGGCGUGCUUAACACAUGCAAGUCGAACGACGAAGCCGGAGCUUGCUCUGGUGAAUUAGUGGCGAACGGGUGAGUAACACGUGAGUAACCUGCCCUUGACUCUGGGAUAACUGCGGGAAACUGUAGCUAAUACCGGAUACGACCCUCGGAGGCAUCUCCUGGGGGUGGAAAGAAUUUUGGUCAAGGAUGGACUCGCGGCCUAUCAGCUAGUUGGUGAGGUAAAGGCUCACCAAGGCGACGACGGGUAGCCGGCCUGAGAGGGUGACCGGCCACACUGGGACUGAGACACGGCCCAGACUCCUACGGGAGGCAGCAGUGGGGAAUAUUGCACAAUGGGCGCAAGCCUGAUGCAGCAACGCCGCGUGAGGGAUGACGGCCUUCGGGUUGUAAACCUCUUUUAGCAGGGAAGAAGCGAAAGUGACGGUACCUGCAGAAAAAGCACCGGCUAACUACGUGCCAGCAGCCACAGUAA